rnacentral:rRNA from 2 species
UAAGGUCAAGGCGAGACGAGCCUUUUAUCAAAGAUAGGUAUCAAGUGGAAGUGCAGUGAUGUACGCAGCUGAGGCAUCCUAACAGACCGAAAGAUUUUAAC